CCUGGGUUCCAUGCUAAGUACCAGUGUUCUCUAUAAUCUAUGUUCUCUGAGUUCUAUGUUCCAUGUUCUCCACCAGGGUAUGAAGUACCCGCACCACAGGAACUUGUUUCAUGGUCGUCUGAAGCGCACGAACUGUGUGGUGGACAGACGUUUUGUCCUGAAGAGCACUGACUACGGAUACAACGAGGCAGCAAGGUUCCCCUACCGAGAACCGCCUGCAGAGGACCUUUUGUGGAUGGCCCCUGAAAUCCUGCGGGGCCCCUCCCCGGUCUCUAUGGCAGUCUCCAUGGUGACAUCUGCAGCUUCGCCAUCAUCAUCCAGGAAGGGGUUAUGAGGGGCCCGCCCUUCUACAUGCAUGGGGCAGUCUGCUGCAGCAUCCAGAAUCCACAUCCAUAACAGCACAGUUAAAAUCCUCCUGGAUCUCAAGGCAGGAUACAAGGUGCAACUGAGGCAGUACAGACCUCAAGGUAAAAGU